rnacentral:misc_RNA from 1 species
GUGAAUCAUCGAAUCUUUGAACGCACAUUGCGCCUCCCGUAACAAGGAGGCAUGCCUGUCUGAGCGUCAUUUAAACCAAUAAGCCCAAAGGGGUUUGUUUUGGGCCUCGACGCAGUCGUCGUAGCCUUAAAGGCAUUGGUCUAGUGCGGACAAGAUCCAUUAGGACUGACCGUCGUGGACCCCGAUCAUCUGACUUGACCUCAGAUCAGGUAGGACUACCGCCUGAACUUAAGCAUAUCAAUAAGCGGAGGA